CAUGGAUAUAUUUGUUGAUAGUCAUCUACUCAAUUUAUUUUUAACCCAUUAAUUAUUAUGAUUAGAUGACCAUCAACAAACACAUUCAUG
rnacentral:pre_miRNA from 1 species